rnacentral:rRNA from 1 species
UACAGAGGUCCCAAGCGUUGUUCGGAUUCACUGGGCGUAAAGGGUGCGUAGGCGGUCGGGUAAGUCUGAUGUGAAAUCUCACAGCUUAACUGUGAAACUGCAUUGGAUACUAUUCGGCUAGAGAGUUGGAGGGGGGACUGGAAUUCUUGGUGUAGCAGUGAAAUGCGUAGAUAUCAAGAGGAACACCAGUGGCGAAGGCGAGUCCCUGGACAACUUCUGACGCUGAGGCACGAAAGCUAGGGGAGCGAACAGG